AUGGAAUUCCUCACCGCACGCGGGCUCUGCGCAGAGCUCUGCGCUGGAGGAAAGUAGCUUCAAGCAGCCUUUGAUGGCAGCUUCUCUUGAGUGGUUUCUGCCGCGGGAUUUUCCUGCUUUCACCAGUGCUUUAAUGCAAUUUAUCAUGUGAACGUGCUGGCUGAGAAGCUUUGCCUGAGUUCCAUUUGCCUUCAACUGUUAAUCCUACCAGUAUGAAUCCAAUUUCCAUAGUGAGCCUUUUAAAAAUGCCCCUUUUCCCUUUCCUUUGGAUUGUUCUUAUUGGAAAGUUAUGCUUUCAAAUCAUUUCCUUCUCUUUCUCCCACCCCACUUCUCUCCCUGUUUUCUCUCUAUCACAUACAUCAUUGUCAACAGUCUAUCAUUCCAACCCAAAGUCAGCUUUUUUACACGUUGAAAUCUGAGUGCAAAAGUUCAAAACCCCUACAGCAGUUCUCCAUUUCCCCACUUCGCUCCAGCCAAUCCCUAUCCCCACCUACUUACUAUCUUGGAACAAUAUUGACUGUGGUCACCAAAUUCAAACACACAAUUUGAGAUUUCCAGCUCCAGUGACAUGAAGAAUGUCGUGUGGUUCCACAUGACUCAUCUGUGAUUGAGAGCUGCAAGGUCUCUGGGCAAAGGACUCUUUAGUAGCUGUAUAUGCGGGAGAAGCUCUGCUUUAUGGACCAGACUUAGAUUCAGAGAGGAAACUCUCCCUUCAUAAAAGUCUUCAGCAGAAAAGAAAUGGAAGAAUCCAGGGAUGGCGCUCCCUACCAUGCUGUGGCUCCGAGAGGAUGGCAACGCUGGGAUAAUCCAGCAAUUCUCUGCCUCUUCGUCACAGGACACUGUCACAGUCGUAAAAAUAACUGAUGUUGCCAAUAACUUUUAUUUGUUUGGAGC